UACGUAGGGUGCAAGCGUUAAUCGGAAUUACUGGGCGUAAAGCGUGCGCAGGCGGCUUUGCAAGACAGAUGUGAAAUCCCCGGGCUCAACCUGGGAGCUGCAUUUGUGACUGCAGGGCUGGAGUACGGCAGAGGGGGAUGGAAUUCCGCGUGUAGCAGUGAAAUGCGUAGAUAUGCGGGGGAACACCGAUGGCGAAGGCAGUCCCCUGGGCCUGUACUGACGCUCAUGCACGAAAGCGUGGGGAGCAAACAGG
rnacentral:rRNA from 1 species